rnacentral:rRNA from 1 species
UACGUAGGGUGCAAGCGUUAAUCGGAAUUACUGGGCGUAAAGCGUGCGCAGGCGGUUUUGUAAGACAGGGGUGAGAUCCCCGGGCUUAACCUGGGAACUGCAUUUGUGACUGCAUAGCUAGAGUACGGUAGAGGGGGAUGGAAUUCCGCGUGUAGCAGUGAAAUGCGUAGAUAUGCGGAGGAACACCGAUGGCGAAGGCAAUCCCCUGGACCUGUACUGACGCUCAUGCACGAAAGCGUGGGGAGCAAACAGG